UGGGGAAUAUUGGACAAUGGGCGAAAGCCUGAUCCAGCGACGCCGCGUGGAUGAUGAAGGCCUUAGGGUUGUAAAGUCCUUUCAGCAGGGAAGAUAAUGACGGUACCUGCAGAAGAAGCUCCGGCUAACUUCGUGCCAGCAGCCGCGGUAAUACGAAGGGAGCUAGCGUUACUCGGAAUUAUUGGGCGUAAAGCGUGCGUAGGCUGCUUUGUAAGUUGGAAGUGAAAGCCCAGGGCUCAACCCUGGAAUUGCUUUCAAAACUACAAGGCUAGAGUAUCAGAGAGGAUAGUGGAAUUCCUAGUGUAGAGGUGAAAUUCGUAGAUAUUAGGAGGAACACCGGUGGCGAAGGCGACUAUCUGGCUGAAUACUGACGCUGUUGCACGAAAGCGUGGGGAGCAAA
rnacentral:rRNA from 1 species